GAUGGACGCUGGCGGCGUGCCUAAUACAUGCAAGUCGAGCGAACAGACGAGGAGCUUGCUCCUCUGACGUUAGCGGCGGACGGGUGAGUAACACGUGGAUAACCUACCUAUAAGACUGGGAUAACUUCGGGAAACCGGAGCUAAUACCGGAUAAUAUAUUGAGCCGCAUGGUUCAAUAGUGAAAGACGGUUUUGCUGUCACUUAUAGAUGGAUCCGCGCCGCAUUAGCUAGUUGGUAAGGUAACGGCUUACCAAGGCAACGAUGCGUAGCCGACCUGAGAGGGUGAUCGGCCACACUGGAACUGAGACACGGUCCAGACUCCUACGGGAGGCAGCAGUAGGGAAUCUUCCGCAAUGGGCGAAAGCCUGACGGAGCAACGCCGCGUGAGUGAUGAAGGUCUUCGGAUCGUAAAACUCUGUUAUUAGGGAAGAACAAAUGUGUAAGUAACUAUGCACGUCUUGACGGUACCUAAUCAGAAAGCCACGGCUAACUACGUG
rnacentral:rRNA from 1 species